rnacentral:tRNA from 1 species
CAGUUUAUAGUUUAUUAAAAUAUUGGUUUUGGGGAUCAAAGUUCUCUAUUUGAGUGGGCUGA